UCUUGGUACAUACCGCGAAGAAGAACGGUGUGAACGCGAUUUUUCAUCAAAAACGGGAGUUUUCUACAACGACGGGGAAUAUCUCCAUCUCGAACUGAUCCAGCCCAUAUG
rnacentral:rRNA from 13 species